CACGUAGGGGGCAAGCGUUGUCCGGAAUUAUUGGGCGUAAAGAGCUCGUAGGCGGUCUGUCACGUCUGCCGUGAAAACCCGAGGCUUAACCUCGUGGCUUGCGGUGGAUACGGGCAGACUAGAGGUAGGUAGGGGAGAACGGAAUUCCCGGUGUAGCGGUGAAAUGCGCAGAUAUCGGGAGGAACACCGGUGGCGAAGGCGGUUCUCUGGGCCUUACCUGACGCUGAGGAGCGAAAGCAUGGGGAGCGAACAGG
rnacentral:rRNA from 1 species